rnacentral:rRNA from 1 species
GGCCUGGCCGGGCGGUCCACGGCUUCGGUUGUGCGCACUGCCUUUUCGGGCCGGGCCCUGCCUCCUGGGGAACCCGCGCUGGGAUGGCUUUCGGGCUGUCCUGCGUGGGCGAGCCAGGACGUUUACCUUGAAAAAAUUAGAGUGUUCAAAGCAGGCGCACGCUUGCAUAGAUUAGCAUGGAAUAAUGGAAUAGGACCUGUGGUCUUGUUUUGUUGGUUUCGUUGACCGCGGUA